rnacentral:lncRNA from 1 species
CGCACCGUAACUUGAGAACAGCUUAUCUAGUUUUCAUGAAACUUAACAAAGUUAUUUCUUGAAAUGGUCAAACGAUCUGUAAACCUUUUAGUGAAAAUCAAAUGAAAUCUUUUUGAGUUACAGAACUUUGAAAGUAAAACAGGAGUGUGGUUUUUUUUAACAUGUCGCGCCAUAUCUCAAAACGAUUUAUUAUUAUUGCAUCAAAC